AAAGUUAACCUGUGUUAUUGAACAGUUUGCUAAUAAUCACCUCAGUUAUGGAGCAUAUUCUUAGCAACAAGGAGGAGAGGAGGCUGGUCUGGAGCAGGGGGUGACCUGGAUCCACAUGGUGCAGGUCUCCAGGGAGACUGGGGAUGGUACCAGUCUCUGCGGAAAGGGGUUUUGAGGAGACUGGCCGGCAGGCUGUCCCAGCUCAUCUUGGCCUGGCUCCCAGCUCAGCAAUGGCUGGGAGCACCGAGUGUUUAUCACUUGUGAAUUUAAUUAAUAUGUGAUCUAUUUUCACUUCCAGAUUCCUGACAAAGGAUGGGCUUGCUCCAAGAAUGCCUUUGAGCAUAUUGCUCUGCUGUGCACGAGAAGCUCCACGUGGCUCUGGGUGCGUGGGUAGCCAUCACUCCUCAGCCUUCGCAGAGCUACAGGGAUGGGCUAACCAUGAUCCCGUGGCGUGAGCUGGGAGAGUGGGUGGUGAGGGGCUGUCUGCAGAGUCUGGGCUGCCAGGAGGAGGUCUGUCCGACAUCACACCAGUCCUGAUGGAGGAUCUCCUGAGUGAUGCUGGUGCCAGGCACUGUGCUGGCUCUGCUGGCAUGUGCAACACAUUGAGAUCCUGUUGGAAGGAGCUUUCCGUGGCCUCAGGGAGUUGGGAGCAAAACUAAACCCCAAUUGAAAGAGCAGUGUCCUGUCUCUGGCUCUUUCUCAAAGGUCAGUAGUUCUCAGGCUUCUGUCCUGGGCACGGCUUGUCCUGCCAUCCAUCCCUGCAGUUCUGAGGACUUAGCGGCUGCUGGCUUCCACGUAUCUGGACCCAGACCCACCUGCCAUCUGGAUAGACACAGCUCCUUGCACAUCCCACCAGGGCCUCGACAUCCCCAGCUUUCCUAGUAUCACUUGUCAUCCUAUAUUCCUGUCGGGA
rnacentral:lncRNA from 12 species